rnacentral:rRNA from 1 species
GAUGAACGCUGGCGGCGUGCCUAAUACAUGCAAGUCGAGCGAACAGACGAGGAGCUUGCUCCUCUGACGUUAGCGGCGGACGGGUGAGUAACACGUGGAUAACCUACCUAUAAGACUGGGAUAACUUCGGGAAACCGGAGCUAAUACCGGAUAAUAUAUUGAACCGCAUGGUUCAAUAGUGAAAGACGGUUUUGCUGUCACUUAUAGAUGGAUCCGCGCCGCAUUAGCUAGUUGGUAAGGUAACGGCUUACCAAGGCGACGAUGCGUAGCCGACCUGAGAGUGUGAUCGGCCACACUGAAACUGAGACACGGUCCAGACCCCUACGGGAGGCAGCAGUAGGGAAUCUUCCGCAAGGGGCGAAAGCCUGACGGAGCAACGCCGCGUGAGUGAUGAAGGUCUUCGGAUCGUAAAACUCUGUUAUUAGGGAAGAACAAAUGUGUAAGUAACUAUGCACGUCUUGACGGUACCUAAUCAGAAAGCCACGGCUAACUACGU